AGAGUUUGAUCCUGGCUCAGAUUGAACGCUGGCGGCGUGCCUAACACAUGCAAGUCGAGCGGUAACAGGCGUAGCAAUACGUGCUGACGAGCGGCGGACGGGUGAGUAAUGCUUGGGAAUCUUCCCGGUAGUGGGGAAUAACCAAUCGAAAGGUUGGCUAAUACCGCAUACGUUCUACGGAAGAAAGCGGGGGACCGUAAGGCCUCGCGCUAUCGGAUGAGCCCAAGUCGGAUUAGCUAGUUGGCGGGGUAACGGCCCACCAAGGCGACGAUCCGUAGCUGGUCUGAGAGGACGACCAGCCACACUGGGACUGAGACACGGCCCAGACUCCUACGGGAGGCAGCAGUGGGGAAUAUUGGACAAUGGGGGAAACCCUGAUCCAGCGACGCCGCGUGUGUGAAGAAGGCCUGCGGGUUGUAAAGCACUUUUAGUGGGGAUGAAAAGCUCCGUUCUAACAAAGCGGGGUCUUGACCUAACCCACAGAAAAAGCACCGGCUAACUCUGUGCCAGCAGCCGCGGUAAUACAGAGGGUGCGAGCGUUAAUCGGAAUUACUGGGCGUAAAGCGCGCGUAGGGUGGUUUUGCAAGUC
rnacentral:rRNA from 1 species